CCAGCUAGAUGCAAAUGACAUUUUCUCAUUUUGUUUUCUAAGCUAGCUAAUAAUUUCCUGGAGAUUUUAAAUAGGCAACAGUCGAGUCAUGAUCUUUCUUAAGCUUAUGGAGGUAAGGAGCAGUUACAUUGGGACUGCGUGAAAACAAGCAACUAUAUUUGUUUUGCAGUCUUCCUGAUCUGAAUUUGUGAAAUUGAGUUCUUGACUUGGAUGAAGCACUGCAGAAGGGACUUUGAAAGCACACUGACAAAGAGAUGGAGAGCUGGAGUCUGUUCCCACAAAAUCAGCAAUAAAACUGACUUCAAUAAGCGCAAGGUGAGGUGGGGAAUGACUCGAUGCAGCGGCGCCCCACUGGUUGCAGUGACCUGUUUCAGUGGGCUUGAAAGCCAAUUUUCGAGGAAGACAGACUCCAUCCUGCUUUGCCAUCAAACUGAGGUCACAGAGAGCCUGUGCAGGCUACAGGAUCAGACACUGAGAACAUCUAAAUUUUUUUGUAGGCUGAUCACAUUUUUCAAGUGCAAACAUUGAGGCACUUCGAAAAUGAAUUGCAUAUAAGCAAUUUAAAUAAAUUAAGAUCUGUAGCUUACUGGUAUCUCAGUAUUUUUUAAUGUAAUUAAUAGCAUAUCAAAUGGAUUGCUCUUGUAAGAUAGGUGAAUUAUCAGAGAGAUGGCUGUUAUCUACUACAAAUACUUUUUUGUUAUGAGCUAGGUUUAUGAAGGUCAGCCAUGCUGUGAUAUGAGGGACUGUUGAAAAUAUUAGAGAUUUCUAACCUGUACUGCUCCUGCUAUUAUUAUAAGAAUUGUAUAAACUGUAAUAAAUUGUAAUGCAUACUCAACCUUUCACUUAGUUUUGACGGUAUGUCCCCUCCACUGAUACAGCAACCGGAACAUGUGGCAAACCAGAAAAGUGAAUUUUUUCUGUUCAUUGAAGAUAUAGGGUGAAAUGACUGAGAGGUUAAAUCCCAGUUUGAGUUGCAAGUCAAGUGAAAAAACGAAAAAUUUCACUUUGAUGAAUCAGAUCUAAGAAUGUUGCUGUAACGAAGGAUAAUUAUGAUGACAGAAAUUAAGGACAGAAUUACGAUAAUUGAAAACUCUGUUGUGGCAGAUAUUAAAAGACCCUGGAGUUCUGGGGCUGUUAAACAUUACCAUUAAAAUCCUGGUAAUUAGAAAUACUUAAUAAAGGAUGGGUGAACAUUUAGCAAAACAAAAGCUUAACUAUUAGUUUCUGAUAAUCCUGUUAAAUUGCACACUGUAUUUAUUACAUGUUUGAGUCUUCUGUGACUGAGACUGCUUGAUGGCAUAGGUGGUUUCCAGCAUCUAAACCUUCCAUCUUAAAUCUCUGGAAAUAGAUUUAACUAAAAAAAAAAAAAAAAAAAAAAGGAGAAGAAAAUACCGGCAAAGCUCUUGUGCUUCAGCCCAUUGCUCUAAUCAAACACAGACACAAUAAGAUAUAUGAAGGUCUAAUUCCCAUGAAAGUUUGCUUGUGACCCUGUUCUUUGCAUUGUAUGACUGAAAUGUCUCAGUUCCUGCACAGUUGCCUAAAGUUCAUUUCAGGCUGAUCUCGUGGCUGUAUAAUGCGCAUUAUUCCACUCUCUUUUGUGCAUUAUUUGGGUGCUUUUUCUCUAAGGGAACUGCUUAUAUUUUCUAUUUUGAGAGAUCUUCUUAGUUUACCUAUCCUUGGGUUACAGAAAAAGCUGCUUCUGAUCAUCUGUGUAGUGAUCAAGUGCAGGAAAAGGGCAUCCAAAAGACCAAGGACAUGUAAGAUUCAAAGGUCAUUAAGGGCACCCAUGUCAGAAGUUGCUUGGACUCCAAGAUCUUGCUAAAGGUGUUCCAAUAUCCAAGAAAUAGCUCCCAUCCAAAGGCAGAAACACCACCAAAUUUUUGAUGCGGUUUACUACUCUUCUGUGGGAUCCUACUCCAUGACAGCCAAAGAGCCAGGAGAUGAGGUGCUGUUUGCAGAUGUGGCCAGAAGAAAGAAAAGGACACAAUACAGGCUGCAGAAAAGAGAUGGAAGAGAUUCAGCAAAUAUAAUGAAAUAUCUGCUCAGAAGGGGCAGAAACAAAGAAAAAUUAAAUGUUACAAGAGCUGAAAAAGAAAGGGACAGCUUUUUGCUGGUAAAGAGCAUAAGUAAUUAGGUUAUCCUACAUAAUCUGUGGAGAAGACUGGAAAUUCCAGAAGGAGAUAAUGACACUACCAGAUCAUGGCUGGAAUGCAGCUUGUAGGAAAUUGAAAUUUCUGGAAAAGAGAUCUUUCAAAGAAAUGUUUCUUCCUG